rnacentral:rRNA from 1 species
UACAGAGGUCCCGAGCGUUGUUCGGAUUUAUUGGGCGUAAAGGGUGCGUAGGCGGCGGAGUAAGUUGGGUGUGAAAGCCCCGGGCUCAACCUGGGAAUUGCAUUCGAGACUGCAUUGCUGGAGUACGGAAGAGGAGGGCGGAAUUCCCGGUGUAGCGGUGAAAUGCGUAGAUAUCGGGAGGAACAUCAGCGGCGAAGGCGGCCCUCUGGUCCAGUACUGACACUCAAGUGCGAAAGCGUGGGGAGCAAACAGG